rnacentral:rRNA from 1 species
UGGGGAAUUUUGGACAAUGGGGGAAACCCUGAUCCAGCCAUCCCGCGUGUGCGAUGAAGGCCUUCGGGUUGUAAAGCACUUUUGGCAGGAAAGAAACGUCAUGGGUUAAUACCCCGUGAAACUGACGGUACCUGCAGAAUAAGCACCGGCUAACUACGUGCCAGCAGCCGCGGUAAUACGUAGGGUGCAAGCGUUAAUCGAAUUACUGGGCGUAAAGCGUGCGCAGGCGGUUCGGAAAGAAAGAUGUGAAAUCCCAGAGCUCAACUUUGGAACUGCAUUUUUAACUACCGGGCUAGAGUGUGUCAGAGGGAGGUGGAAUUCCGCGUGUAGCAGUGAAAUGCGUAGAUAUGCGGAGGAACACCGAUGGCGAAGGCAGCCUCCUGGGAUAACACUGACGCUCAUGCACGAAAGCGUGGGGAGCAAACAGG